ensembl:lncRNA
AUGCCCCCACUCUCCUUGCAACCAAGGAGCCCACACCCCUUCCCCCAGUGUCUCUUCCAUCAGUCCAAGGCUGAGGCAACCCAGUUGCUUCCGAAGCAAGAUGACCAAGUUUGGAAGAGACGGCUGAAGCAUCUGUCCCUGGCAGAAGCUCUGUCUUGCGCUCAGACACUCUACCCAGACUUUGUUCCUGGCGGCACCAGAGAACUUCCCCAGCCCAGGGAGGAAUCUCUGAGGAUCACAGGUAACCCACUGCUAACUGGCCAGCCUGCCAUUCCUGAGAGGAAGAUGAAAGACGCGUGGCAUAGGACCCCACCCCCAGACAAACCCAGUCAGAGUAGAACCCCUGGCGACCAGCAGGUGCACGAGUGAGUCCAUCCAAGAUGACCACCAGGCAAGUAGCCAAUCAAUAAGUGACUAUUGAUUUAACUCACUGCUUUGGGUGGCUUGUUUCACAGCAAUAACUGACUGACACACUAUCUGCUGGGGGCUUUUCCACUUUAUUAACCAAAUGACUGAAGGAGUAGAUAAAUAAUACAGUUCUCUAAAUCACUGGGUCUAUGAGUUGGAGAGGUCUUAACCAUGGGACUCUGUGCUUCUGAGUGUCUGAGGCUUAAGUGCCUGGAGCAGACGUUGAGCACAAUAUCUGUGGGAGAGCAGCAUGGUCCAUGCUGAAAGGUUCAUGCUAAUCUUUGCCCCAUCCCACAUUUCCCUUUGACCUUGAUGAGAGCAGCCCAGUGCCAGUCAGCUGAGUAUAAGGGGUAAUAGAAGCUGUGGCAUAAACAGCUGAACUGGAACACAUCUUCAUGAUGUCUCUGCUCACAGGGAAAAGCCCAAAUACCAUGGGAAGACCUCCAGGCUCUGUCUUGAUCUGUCUCCCAGGCUUCUUUCCUACAGCUACUGCCCCAUACUUCCUGAGAUGGGACACUCAGUUCUGCUAAAUGGUCUCCAAAUACAUCAUGCUUUUUCAUGGAUCUGUGCCUUUGCUCCAAAUGCCCUUCCUCCCUUCAGCCUCCCUAAUGAACUCCUACUCACACUGCAAAACCCAAUCAACAGAGCCCUCCUGUGAAAUUUUCCCCAAACUCAACUCAAACACUCUUCCUAUGACACUGAGAUAAUUUAACAGCAUGUCAGAUCACACCAUAUUCCCUCAACUAGAGUGUGAACUCCCUUAGAACAUGCUCAAUAAACCUAAAGGGAGUAGAUGAGUGAGUGAUCA